rnacentral:rRNA from 1 species
GACGAACGCUGGCGGCGUGCUUAACACAUGCAAGUCGAACGGAAAGGCCCUGCUUUUGUGGGGUGCUCGAGUGGCGAACGGGUGAGUAACACGUGAGUAACCUGCCCUUGACUUUGGGAUAACUUCAGGAAACUGGGGCUAAUACCGGAUAGGAGCUCCUGCUGCAUGGUGGGGGUUGGAAAGUUUCGGCGGUUGGGGAUGGACUCGCGGCUUAUCAGCUUGUUGGUGGGGUAGUGGCUUACCAAGGCUUUGACGGGUAGCCGGCCUGAGAGGGUGACCGGCCACAUUGGGACUGAGAUACGGCCCAGAAUCCUACGGGAGGCAGCAGUGGGGAAUAUUCCACAAUGGGCGGAAGCCUGAUGCAGCAACGCCGCGUGCGGGAUGACGGCCUUCGGGUUGUAAACCGCUUUCGCCUGUGACGAAGCGUGAGUGACGGUAAUGGGUAAAGAAGCACCGGCUAACUACGUG